rnacentral:sRNA from 1 species
ACAAAAGAAAUUACACAAUUCUAAAAAUAGAUAAAAUUAAUACAAGUACAAAAUAAUGUAUAUGGUUUAUUGAUUGUGCGAUAUGGCAUGGAUACAAACACACACACAACAUCAAUCAAUUUUUAUUAAAAUAUUGAAGUGUUUUUAUUUAAUUUUAUAAAUAAAAUAAAAUUUUAUCGUUACAUAGUACAUUUAUCUAAUUCUUACAUUUAUCUCCCAUACUUUUAGCACAAUUGAAUUCUUUCUAUUUAUGUCUGUUAUUCAAACAAAAAUAUAUAAUCAAUUUGUAUAAUAAUAUUGUUUAUAAAACAUUGUUUUUAACUUGA